CGAACACGCAGCACUCGGAAUCCUACUUCCUCUACAUGGAGAUGAAGUCAAGGGGAAUCCGACGAUCUUCGCUCUCACCGUACCUUCUCUUCCUCGUCCUCCUCGUGUCCCUAUCCAAAGCUUCUCCUUCCUCUUCGAAUGGCGAGCUGCCUCCCCCUGGCGUCGUCUCUCGCAUCGCCUUCGGUUCCUGCUCCAACCAGAGUGCGCCGCAGUCGAUUUGGGAUGCGGUCCUUGAUUUCGAUCCCCAGGUCUUCAUUUGGCUUGGUGACAAUAUCUACGGCGACAACAAACGCCCCUUCAGGAUUAUGGGGAAGGAACGGACUAUCGGGCCGUGGAAGAACGUGCCGAGAUUCUUCCCGUCGACGGAGGAGGAGAUGCGGAGAAGGUACUUGUUGGCUAAGGGCAAUCCGGGUUACUCUAAUCUGAGACAGACGGCUCAGGUUAUUGGUACAUGGGAUGACCAUGAUUAUGGGUUGAAUGAUGCAGGAAAAGAAUUCAGCAAGAAGGAAAUAAAUCAAAGGCUUCUUUUAGAUUUCCUAGAUGAAGCUGAAGAUAGUCCUCGGCGGCGUCAAGAUGGGGUUUAUACAUCCUAUAUAUUUGGUCCUAGUGGAAAACAAAUAAAGAUCAUUCUUUUGGAUACGAGAUAUCAUAGGGACCCCCUCUUCAGUGAUGGAACUAUAUUGGGAGAUUCUCAGUGGCAAUGGCUUGAGAAUGAGUUGUAUGGUCCUGAAUCAGAAAUUACAAUUAUUGCCUCUUCCAUUCAGGUAGUAUCAAAUCUUUCUGCAAUUACUUCUCCAUUGUUCUAUCCAGAGUCUUGGGGACGAUUUCCAAAGGAGAGAAAACGUCUGUAUAAACUGGUAAAAGAUAGCAAGAGAAGUGGAAUCUUCUUUAUAAGUGGUGAUGUUCAUUUUGGGGAGAUUACCCGUUAUGAUUGUGGGGAGCAGUAUCCACUGUAUGAUAUAACCUCGAGUGGACUUACUCAGGCUAUUGAAAAGGUUGUGCCAAAACUCUUUGCUUUCCUGGUGAGAGCUAUAGCAUGGUGGACACCUAGUACCAUGAGAGUGUAUUCUUCAGAAUGCCGAUACAGAUCAUGCACAUAUGCUCAGCCAAAUUUUGGGGCAAUUCAGAUCAUUUGGGAUGAGGUACCUCAAAGAAUCAGAGUUGAAGUGAGGGAUUCAAAUGGAGAUCCUGCUACUGCUAUAGAUAUCUUACUUUCUGAUCUGCAAUCCAUAGAUACAAACAAGAUCAUUGGAAGACCUAUGAAGUAUGAACAUCACUGCUUACUUGAAUCAGAACUUCCAUGUUUCUGGAGGCAUUCUUUUGCCUUCAUUGUCUUUGCAUCAAGUGCUGGUAUGGGUCACUCCUAUUCAUAUUGAAGUUAAAACUUGUGGAACAAUAACUGCAUCAUUGAAGAUACAUAUUGGACUUGAUCAGAUAAUGGCUCCCAAUUGUAGGUUUGCUCCUUGCUAUGAUUCUGUUAGCCUAUACAAUUGCAUCAGCUAGCAAGAAGUUCCUUUUGAAAUUCAAGAUUGAUUGAUCAUACGAGCUGCAAAAGAACACAGGAAAACUCCUGUUGUGCCAUCAAUUCAUUGGUCCGUUAAGCUCGUGGUCUGCUUCAUUCUUGUUUAAUGGCAUGGCCCAGUUUGACAUUAUAACAUGGUUUUGCAUAAUUGUUUGGAGCACAUUCAACUCAACUCCACAAUUUGUUCGCCCCUCAUACUCAUUUGGGGAUUUGCUUCAUAGUAUUUUCACCUGCCUCACAUGUUGAAUUCAUUCGUUUGUUGUAACUUUAUUGUUCUGGAAAUCAAGGUGAAGAAAAUUCAAUUGAGGCUCUGUCA